AGUGAGUGCAGCAGCAGUAAGCCUGGUGUGUUUAUUACCAAACAAUCCUUCGCCAUCCUGCUUAGCUAGCCCUUGUGAAGGCAUUCCCUGACUUAGAUAAAGUCUUAAAGACGCAGAGGUGCAUCUCCUGCCUUUGGAGGAUCAGACACAGAAGUCUUGAAGCUGGACAGAUGGCUUUGCAUUCCACCACCUCACAGAUGAAUGGCAGAAGUGAAGAGUAUAGGAGUAUGACUCAUCUGGAAGGGUCUUGGUAGCCCACUAACCUACUUGAGGUCCACAUUACUUGUUUUAGAACAAUCGUAGAGAUGGACAAUGAGAAAGUGACUUUUGUGAUAUGGUGCAUAUGGAAUGAAAUGCUCUCGAUAUAAAAUCUGAAAAUGGAAAGGAAAGCAAUUACCAACUAUCUAGAACUGGCAAGAUAUAAAUGGAUUUUUAUGGAGACCAAUCUACGGUGAGUUGACUUCCUGCCUUGCGCCCUGUGUUGGCUGGGAUUGGCUCCAGCAGACCCCCAUGACCCUGUAGUUAGGAUAUAGCGGGUUGGAUAAUGGAUGGAUGGAUGGAGACCAAUUCAAGGUGAGGUUCUUGCAUGUAUGCCAACAUUUAAUUCAUUUAUUUUUGCUCAUUAAAAUACUCAAAAGAUAUGGGGUAUGUAACAUAUUCAGCUGUUUAAAACACACAUGGAAAUUAUCUAAAUGCUUCAAUGUAAAUAAAAUUGUACAUAUUUAUGACUGGAUGCCACAAGGCUGGUAUUGCUGUGUAGUUAGUGGUUUGGGUUGCUGUCUCACAGCUACAUAGUCAAUGGUCUAAAUCACAGGCCUGACCUCUGUUUGAGUGGCUUUUGCUCCUGGGGUUUCCUCAGGUAAUCUGGAUCUCCUCCCACUUCCCCGCAUGUCAUAUUAGGCUGAUUCAUAACUGUAAAUUGACACUGUGUGUGUGGGUGUGUGCAGAAAUGUGUUGUGCAAUGCCGGCUCCUUAUACCUAUUGCUGCUGGGAUAAACACUAGGUCUGUACUACCCAGGAGUGGAUAAGUAGGUUAGAAAAUGGACAGAUGAUGGGAUGGUGUUAUAGUGGUGCACCACGUCCCGCUUCUACCUCACAGUCAUAGGGCACUUUGUUCAGAUCCCGGCCCAGACACUGUGUGGAAUUUGCAUGUUAAGGGCAGAGUUUGCAGAAAUGUUAGAAAUUUUUUUUAUUCACACAAAGAGCCAAAUGGAAUAAAUGACCAAGCAGUAUGGUGGACAGUAGGCCUUUAGGGACCUUCCAGUCUCAAUAUGAUGUUCUGUUUGACAAUCUAGGAGGACAGGAUGAACACGACUGAACACUUUGUUCAGACACCAGCUCAGACACUGUGUGGAAUUUGCAUGUUUUUUUCUCUUUUCUCCACCGACUGCCCAUUUAUGUCCCAAAAAUUAUACGUUAGCUUAUUGAGUCACCCAAAAUUAGAGUGGUCUUCAUGGAGUAGACUCACUAACUUUUUCAGACUUAGGUGAUGUUAAAAGUGGUGUCCCUCAGGGAGCAGUGAUGGGCUGUUGCUGUUUUUAAUAAACACAAAUGAUCUGGACACGAAAAUAAUCAAAAAGCUGGUUAAGUCUGAAGAGGAAAUCAAAUUUGGUGGAAGGGUGGAUAACACAGAAUUAUCCAGAUUGCUGCAGAGGGGCUUGCAAAGCAUACUGGCUAGGGCAGACUGUGGCAGAUUACAUUUAAUGUAAGGUAUUACAUUUACAGUAGUAAAAAUGUUAGAUUUGAAUACAAAAUGAAACUUCUGUAACUUGAAAGUACACCUUAUGAGAAGGACCAGGAAGUCAUCAAAACACUGGACAGAAGCAAUGAGGAAGGCUAAUAAAAUGUGUAGAAUACAAGUCAAGGGAGGUUAUACCUAAGCUAUAUAACACACUAGUGAAAACUCUUAUGAAGAACUGUGUACAGAUUUGAUCUCCAUAUUAUAAAAAAGACAUAACAGCACUAAAGAGAGUCCAGAGAAGAUUGACUAGGCUGACUGAGACCUGGUCUAGGUUCUGGAGCUAUGAGGACAGAGUGAAGGAGUUGAAUCUUUUCAGUUUAAGCAAAUAUAGAUUAAUAGGCGAUAUGAUUGAAGUGUUUAAAAUUAUGAAAGGAAUUAGUACAGUAGAUCCCAGUUUCUGCUUUAAAAUACCAUAUUUCCAACCAUACCCUUUGUUCUUGUUGCAAUUUUUAAGAUAGAUAGAUAGAUAGAUAAAGAACAAUAUUAAAUUAAAGA